GGGCGAUUAGUUUAGUGGUAGAACGAAGGUCUCCAAAACCUUUGGUAGGGGUUCGAUUCCCUUAUCGCCCGCCA
rnacentral:tRNA from 1 species